UAAAAUUCAUUGAUUUCAACAUCUUCUGAAUGCAACUCAGAUACUUUAAUUAAACUAAACUUC
rnacentral:tRNA from 1 species